CCCACCAGCUAAAUUAUUUGGAAAUCUUGACCAUUGAUCUCAGCUAUCAUAGAAUCUGCACUGUUCGUCCCACCUACAAUGGCUUCUCUCACCUAUACCACGCCUAUAAAAUGGAUGUACGAAUCCUCUCCUCACUCCUACGGCCAAAACCGGCUGGCUCUUGCUCUCUCGAGACCUCUAGCUCACUCCCACGACAUGCAAGAAUCCUCUUCUCCCUCCCAUGGCCGAGAAAUCUCUGCUCCCUCCCAUGGACGAAACCAAGCACCCAUGGCUGCUGAAACCUCUAGCUCACUCCCACAGU
rnacentral:lncRNA from 1 species